GCCGGGGUGGCGAAAUCGGCAGACGCAGCGGACUUAAAAUCCGCCGGGCGCAAGCCCGUGUGGGUUCGACCCCCACCCCCGGCACCA
rnacentral:tRNA from 1 species